rnacentral:rRNA from 1 species
UACGGAAGGUGCAAGCGUUGUUCGGAUUUACUGGGCGUAAAGCGCGCGCAGGCGGAUUUGCAAGUCAGAUGUGAAAUCUUAGGGCUCAACCCUGAAAUUGCGUCUGAAACUGUGGAUCUAGAGUACCAGAGGGGAUAGGGGAAUUUCACGUGUAGGGGUAAAAUCCGUAGAGAUGUGAAGGAACACCGGUGGCGAAGGCGCCUAUCUGGAUGGUAACUGAUGCUGAGGCGCGAAAGCGUGGGGAGCAAACAGG